UACGGGGGGGGUAAGCGUUGUUCGGAAUUACUGGGCGUAAAGGGCUCGUAGGCGGCCAACUAAGUCAGACGUGAAAUCCCUCAGCUUAACUGGGGAACUGCGUCUGAUACUGGAUGGCUUGGAUUCGGGAGAGGAAUGCGGAAUUCCAGGUGUAGCGGUGAAAUGCGUAGAUAUCGAGAGGAACAUCGGUGGCGAAGGCGGCCUUCUGGACGGUGACUGACGCUGAGAUGCGAAAGCGUGGGGAGCAAACAGG
rnacentral:rRNA from 1 species